CUUUGCUGUCCAUAUUGUAGAGUUCGUUAUCCAUUAGAAUUAAAGCACAUAUCAUUAUUAUCGUAUUGCAGAAAAUUGUGUCGAAAAAUUAUUGGUCUUUUAUUUUUAAUUUUAUAUUAACUGGAUGCUUAAUUAUCGGUCUCAUUACAAUCCUUUAUAUAUUCAUGUUAUAUUUAUGGGAUCUGGAUAACUGGUAUAUCGUUCAUGUUAUCGCUUUACUUGGCAUUUCUUUUUGUUUCUGUUUUGUUGUCGCUACUGCAAUAUUAUAUAUGAGAGUUUGGAGUAUGAGUAUAUAUCAAUUUUAUAAAAAAUAUAAAAAUUUUCAAGAAUUUCGAGUGAUAGAAAGAGGUCCUUAUCUAGAAACUGAAUUAUAAAUAAAAUUUCAUUAUCCUGCAUAUUAGACUAUAUAAUGCAGUUAUU